AGUGAACGCUGGCGGUAGGCCUAACACAUGCAAGUCGAACGAAAGCACAGUAAGAGCUUGCUCUUACGGGUGGCGAGUGGCGGAUGGGUGAGGAAUACAUCGGAUUCUACUUUUUCGUGGGGGAUAACGGAGGGAAACUUACGCUAAUACCUCAUACGUCCUACGGGUGAAUGCAGGGGAUCUUGGGACCUUGCGCGAUUGAAUGAGCCGAUGUCGGAUUCGCUAGUUGGCGGGGUAAAGGCCCACCAAGGCGACGAUCCGUAGCUGGUCUGAGAGGAUGAUCGGCCACACUGGAACUGAGACACGGUCCAGACUCCUACGGGAGGCAGCAGUAGGGAAUAUUCGACAAUGGGCGCAAGCCUGACCCAGCAAUGCCGCGUGGGUGAAGAAGGUCUUCGGAUUGUAAAACUCUUUUGUUGGGAAAGAACAGCAGCAGGUUAAUAUCCCGCCGUUUUGACGGUACCCAAAGAAUAAGCACCGGCUAACUUCGUG
rnacentral:rRNA from 1 species